GUGGAAUUAGUUUAGUUCGGUAAAACUACAUAUUGUGGCUGUGUUAUCAAAAGUUCGAGUCUUUUAUUUCACC
rfam:Serendipita vermifera MAFF 305830 unplaced genomic scaffold scaffold_150, whole genome shotgun sequence.